rnacentral:lncRNA from 1 species
GUUCAGUCUGAGAAUAUAGGUCAGCAGUCCUCUGAGGUUAGCACGAGUAUGUGUGGGGGUGUGUCUAUCCAGCACAUACACAUUUCCUGUUUUACUCUGAGCUUAUAUUUAUCCUUUCCCUACAACCUAACCUUUCCUAUCUUAAGAGAUUAGUAUUCACACACUCCAGUGGCUCAGAAAAUGAACUCUUGUCCUGAACUGGUGAUUGCACUCUUCUUAAUGUUUGGAGGAAGCAAUGGAGACUCGGUGACUCAGACAGAAGGCCUAGUGACACUCUCUGAAGGGGCUUCUCUGACUGUGAACUGUUCCUAUGAAACCACACAGUACCCAGCCCUGUUCUGGUAUGUGCAGUAUCCCGGAGAAGGGCCACAACUCCUCCUUAGAGCCUCAAAGGCCAACGAGAAGGGAAGCAGCAGAGGUUUUGAAGCUACAUAUGAGAAAGAAACCACGUCCUUCCACUUACAGAAAGC